rnacentral:rRNA from 1 species
GUUGCAGUUAAAAGCUCGUAGUUGAACCUUGGGCCUGGCUGGCCGGUCCGCCUCACCGCGUGCACUGGUUCGGCCGGGCCUUUCCCUCUGGGGAACCUCAUGCCCUUCACUGGGUGUGCUGGGGAACCAGGACUUUUACUGUGAAAAAAUUAGAGUGUUCAAAGCAGGCCUAUGCUCGAAUACAUUAGCAUGGAAUAAUAGAAUAGGACGUGUGGUUCUAUUUUGUUGGUUUCUAGGACCGCCGUAAUGAUUAAUAGGGACAGUCGGGGGCAUCAGUAUUCAAUUGUCAGAGGUGAAAUUCUUGGAUUUAUUGAAGACUAACUACUGCGAAAGCAUUUGCCAAGGAUGUUUUCAUUAAUCAGGAACGAAAGUUAGGGGAUCGAAGACGAUCAGAUACCGUCGUAGUCUUAACCAUAAACUAUGCCGACUAGGGAUCGGACGAUGUUAUUUUUUGACUCGUUCGGCACCUUACGAGAAAUCAAAGUGUUUGGGUUCUGGGGGGAGUAUGGUCGCAAGGCUGAAACUUAAAGAAAUUGACGGAAGGGCACCACCAGGAGUGGAGCCUGCGGCUUAAUUUGACUCAACACGGGGAAACUCACCAGGUCCAGACACAAUGAGGAUUGACAGAUUGAGAGCUCUUUCUUGAUUUUGUGGGUGGUGGUGCAUGGCCGUUCUUAGUUGGUGGAGUGAUUUGUCUGCUUAAUUGCGAUAACGAACGAGACCUUAACCUGCUAAAUAGCCCGUAUUGCUUUGGCAGUACGCUGGCUUCUUAGAGGGACUAUCCGCUCAAGCGGAUGGAAGUUUGAGCAUAACAGGUCUGUGAUGCCCUUAGAUGUCUGGGCCGCACGCGCGUACACUGA